AAUGACAGCGGGGACAGAAUGGACUGAAGCAUUGUCUGCUGCCUUUAGGAAACUGAAAACUUAAUUUGAAACGGCGCAGGCUGGAGCGGGGCUCCUUGCACAGGGAAGGCUCUAUUCCUGCCCUUUAAGCAUCACUUUUUAUCCUUGACAUAUAUUUUCCAUCCAGCGCUUCUCCACAGCACCAUCCAUCACAGUGAGAGCCGCGAGGAGCCGAGGGCACCCGGUGCUCAGGUGUAAGUCACAGUGAUGUGGGAUGUGAUCAUCUGACCCCAACACUCUGCAGAAGUCAAGGAGCAGAGCCUUCCCAGCCUAAAGACACCUCUCCAGCUGACGCACAACUGCCUUUGGAGCACUUCAGGUUGCCCAGAGAAGUCCUUUUGCAAAGAGCCCCAACAAAAAUAACUCCUAAAACCCAGACCAAGCGGAACCGGCUCCGACCCGAUCCACCUGCCCCUUCUGCACCCCGCUGCCCACCCCAGGGCUGCACAGAAGCGUUUCACACCCCCCUGCUUCCCACCUGAACCACACCAAAAAUUAAUGCCGAGCCGGACCUGAGACGAAACCCCAUAAACUGAGAUGCGGUGCGAGGGGGUUGGUACAGAGCCAGAAUUCCGGGGCUUGGUAAGGAUUCCCGAUACCAAACGGGUAAAUCAGAGAGAGAACCACGGGGUCGGGUUGGAACAGCAAUUAAAACUGCAUGAAAACGGUGCCGGAUUAUUACAGGGGAAUCGAACGCGCCGGGGCAAUGCGGGAAAAGAACACCACUACCCUCCAAGCAUGAGACACAGGCUGCUUCCCCCUCGCCCCCAUAAGCCACGGGAAGGAUAAAGCGACCUACGUGUGAGAUCUUCUGGGGAACGAAGAGCAAAGAGGGGAAGCAGAGCGGCCGCUCACCUCUGCUCCGCGCGCCGACGCUGCCGUCCCCGGUGUGAGCCGGGCUGUGUCGGAGCUGCCCCGGUGCCUGCAGCCGAGCAGAGAGUGUCAUUGAUUUGUGUGGGGAAGGCUAAGCCUUUCUAGGAGCGGCUAUGAGAACUCACUCCCACCACUCCCUCUAAACCAAAGGAAUUUGGCACGCAGCCCUCCCUGUCCACCUGUACUAUUAAGGUCUGCGCGGCGCGCGGGACGCGGACCGACUUUACCGGGGUCUUUUUGUGUUUCCUUUUUAAAUGAGCACGCAGAGUCCUCU
rnacentral:lncRNA from 7 species